AGCGGCAGACGGGUGAGUAACGCGUGGGAAUCUACCUUAAGCUACGGGAUAACAGAGAGAAAUUUCUGCUAAUACCGUAUGUGGCCUAUGGGCGAAAGAUUUAUCGGCUUAAGAUGAGCCCGCGUUGGAUUAGCUAGUUGGUGGGGUAAAGGCCUACCAAGGCGACGAUCCAUAGCUGGUCUGAGAGGAUGAUCAGCCACACUGGGACUGAGACACGGCCCAGACUCCUACGGGAGGCAGCAGUGGGGAAUAUUGGACAAUGGGCGGAAGCCUGAUCCAGCCAUGCCGCGUGAGUGAAGAAGGCCUUAGGGUUGUAAAGCUCUUUCACCGGUGAAGAUAAUGACGGUAACCGGAGAAGAAGCCCCGGCUAACUUCGUGCCAGCAGCCGCGGUAAUACGAAGGGGGCUAGCGUUGUUCGGAUUUACUGGGCGUAAAGCGCGCGUAGGCGGAUAGAUAAGUCAGAGGUGAAAUCCCGGGGCUCAACCCCGGAAUUGCCUUUGAUACUGUUUAUCUUGAGUGCAGAAGANGUAAGUGGAAUUCCNAGUGUAGAGGUGAAAUUCGUAGAUAUUCNGAGGAACACCAGUGGC
rnacentral:rRNA from 2 species